rnacentral:rRNA from 1 species
GUGGGGAAUUUUGGACAAUGGGCGCAAGCCUGAUCCAGCAAUGCCGCGUGCAGGAAGAAGGCCUUCGGGUUGUAAACUGCUUUUGUACGGAACGAAACGGUCCGGGUUAAUACCCUGGGCUAAUGACGGUACCGUAAGAAUAAGCACCGGCUAACUACGUGCCAGCAGCCGCGGUAAUACGUAGGGUGCAAGCGUUAAUCGGAAUUACUGGGCGUAAAGCGUGCGCAGGCGGUUUUGUAAGACAGGCGUGAAAUCCCCGGGCUCAACCUGGGAAUUGCGCUUGUGACUGCAAGGCUGGAGUGCGGCAGAGGGGGAUGGAAUUCCGCGUGUAGCAGUGAAAUGCGUAGAUAUGCGGAGGAACACCGAUGGCGAAGGCAAUCCCCUGGGCCUGCACUGACGCUCAUACACGAAAGCGUGGGGAGCAAACAGGAUUAGAAACCCUGGUAGUCC